rnacentral:rRNA from 1 species
GAUGAACGCUAGCGGCAGGCUUAAUACAUGCAAGUCGAACGGGAUAGAUUGUAGCAAUACGAUCUUGAGAGUGGCGCACGGGUGCGUAACACGUAUGCAACCUACCUUUAUCAGGAGAAUAGCUUUCGGAAACGAAAAUUAAUACUCCAUAACAUGUAGGAAUAGGCAUCUAUACUACAUUAAAGUUCCAACGGAUAAAG